AUAGUACUAGUCUCUUUCACUAAUUCCUUAAUUAGUGAUUUGUGUAUAUAAAUUUGGAAAUAGGUCAAUAAACUUAGAUAAUAGAGGUCAUAUAUCACAUGGGAAAUUCUUCAAUAACGCGAACAGAGUCUAUUGUCAGUGGAUGAAUGAGCUAUCCACUGGGAUGCCCCUUAAAUAACAUAUACUUCUCAGUUGGUUUCUGAUUCGUGCAGUGAUUAUCUCCUGGUACUACAAUUGCUACCGUUAGCGCGAGGCAAAUUGCACACAAUGGUUAUGAAAACUUUUAUAGCGAACUUGUUGCCUUUUUAUUGCAGACAAAAUAGUGUCAAUUUCUUUGUUGUUGCAUCUUCGAGUUCUGAAACCAAAUCCUUAACUUUGUAACUGCUUCAAAAACUUGCAUCAGCUUUGUAUUAGUAUGUUAGGAGACUUAACGGAAUGUGUUGUUCUUCAAGUAUUUAAUAUCAUUUAUAUUUAUGUUGCACGCUAUGUUUAAUGUUGAUUUUUGGUUUGCAGUAUAUUAUGUUGUUAGCAAUGUAUUCUAAAUCUAAUAAUAAUCCAUUUGAGAUACAAAAUCACAGGACAUGAAACUAAGACAAAUUUGGGAAAUGCAUGAUGGUUUGAAAUUCAAACCAAUAAUUGACCAUCCACUGACUUAAAUACCAAAGCAAAGGAUAAGUCGUUUUUGGCUAACUGUAUACAAAUUUUAGAAAUGUUUUCUUCUUGUAUAAAAAAUGACUGUGAGACCAUAGUUCAAAUUUAUUUUGAAUUCUGAAUUGGAAUCUCAGUGAGAGUUUGAAAUUCACGAUGGCUUCUGUUUGAUUAUAAAACUUACCGAGUUGGUAAUAUGAUUUGUCCUGCCUAAUUCUCCCUCUUACAUCGGCACCACAUCCAAAAUUGUCACGAAAGAAGGAAAACUUGAAAAACAAAAAAAGAAAAAUGAUUAAUCUGCACUCUUGCUACAUUUUGGUGUAGUAUUUAUAAAUAUCUUUUAAAGCUUCUUACCAUUAGUUCAUUUAAUACUAGAAUAUGUUAUGUGAUACUUGAACGCAAAGAUGCGACUCAUAUGAUGUUUCUUCAUGAGUCUUUAACUUUAUAACUGUAACAGAAGAGCUAUGUGAAAAUGCUUGCUCUAUCUUUUGUAUAUGUCCUUUGUGCAUUCCACUGCUUAUAACUCCAUAUUUUAAUUUAUUUUCAGAAAAUUAAUGGCGAGUACUGCAUGCUUUGUCAUUGUCAGUAGGAAUGAUAUUCCUAUUUAUGAAGCUGAACUGGGGUUAUACUUUCUGUUCCUUGACUGAUCAUCUGCAUGGAAUUUCUUUUAUAUUUACUUUGAUUAUGUGGAAAAAAUCUGUGUACAGUCAGUGUCUGAGAUUUUUUUUCAUUUACUCCUAUUAUUUUAAUUAGUCAUUUUGUUAUGAAAAAUUCAAAUGUAUAUUUUUGCUUAUUUUCCAUACGGUGGUGCUUAACUGCGCUUUGAAUGAGCUAACAGAUUUUGCAACUUCAUCUCUUUGAUUUUCAUAAGCCAUUUAUGGCCUUGCUGUUGCAACUAGGAACCUGUUUUGUGCUUGUCAAUAUUGUACUGUUGUUAUCUGUUGUUGUGAGGAGUUGAAGAGCCUGCUCACACUAAUGAUCAUUUUCCUCAUUACCUUGUUCAUCAAAGCCGAUUCCCCAAGACUAUCAUUUCUGUUGGGUCCGCAUUUUGUUUUUCCCUUAUGUAUUUAUUAUUUUGACUUCUUGCACAAUUCUUCUCUGCUUGAAGUGUUUCACUUUUUUUCCUUGGAUUUUGUUGACAUAAAAAUGUUUAAUUGCCUUGUAAUAUUCACAGGACAUAACUAGAAAUGUGCUCAUUCUUCUAUAAGUAUUAAAUGUCUCUAGAAUAAAUAAAGCUUGAUAUACUUCUAAUGUCCAAAGAGUUUCUGAAUAUUGGUGGACCUCAAAUAGUUUUGGACACAAUUGUGAACUACAUUACAAAUAUUUUUUGCACUCAUAUGACAGAAAGAAGAAGUUGCUCAUGAACAUCAAUUUAUAUCACAUGCUGCCUUGGAUAUUGUCCUGGACCGGGCCUGGACAAAUAGUGCUAUGUUCUUGAAGGCAAUUGACAGGUUCAAUGAUCUGGUGGUGUCUGUUUAUGUCACUGCUGGUCAUAUCCUAAUAAAUCUAUAUUUUCCCACUUGAUAGUUCCUGUAGGUUAUUUCCUGAAGUUUAUGAAGAGUCUAGGUUAUGUAUAUGUUUAUUCUUAUAUCCUUGCAGAAUGUAUGAGAGUGACAGUCGAAUUCAAGUUUGUUCUGAAGUGAUGUUGCUAAUUAUGAUACAUGCUGUGUAAAAGAUCCUCCAACUGAACGAAUGCAUGCCCUCACACAAAUACAAGAAAGUAUUGAUGUUUACACAGACCCUAAACAAAUAGAGAGUUCUGUCGAAAUUGUCUCUUUAUACUAUACUUCGUAGAUGACUCAUAUUCUUUUGAUAGUCUCCACAUUAAGAGUAUUUUGUAGUUCUAAAAGGUGUAAUUGUACUAUCCAAAAUGCAAUAUAUAGUUUCAGCAAUCUUUUGUUUUCU